UACGUAGGUGGCAAGCGUUGUCCGGAUUUACUGGGCGUAAAGAGCGCGCAGGCGGUCGGAUUAGUCGCGUGUGAAAGCCCCCGGCUCAACUGGGGAGGGUCACGCGAUACUGUUCGACUCGAAGGCAGGAGAGGGAAGUGGAAUUCCCGGUGUAGCGGUGAAAUGCGCAGAUAUCAGGAAGAACACCCGUGGCGAAGGCGGCUCUCUGGGACGGUACUGACGCUGAGACGCGAAAGCGUGGGGAGCGAACAGG
rnacentral:rRNA from 1 species